rnacentral:lncRNA from 1 species
UCAUUUUGUUUGUGCCCUAGUUAGGAGGUCAACUUCCAAGAACCAUAACUUGCUAAAUUUUUAUGAUAUGAAGGCCAUAAAAGAUCCAUGAUUAAUUUGAAUAUGUCUUCUCCAACUUUUAUUUUUUGAGAAAUGUCAAAUUCAAUUUUCAUGGGCAUGUGCCAAGAGGAAACAUUAUAGGUCAUUCUGUGUCAUUACCAUUUAACAAGCAAUUUUCCUCAACUUCUAAAAUUCAU